UUUAUGUGCAAUAUGGCCGCAAAUCACGACCUGUUAUCUUAGAGCAUGUCUAUAUGCUCUAGGCCUGUCACGGCAGCGGCGAGCACGUAAAAGUAGAUGUUCAAUACAUUUUGAACCAUCAUGUUUUAAAACAUCUUUCGAUUGCAACUGCCGAGGUACUCUUUGAAAGUUCAUAAGCUGAACAAUAAUAUAAUUCCCAUGUUGCAUUUAUUUAAUGACUCAUAUUUGAAAAAUACACAAUGCUUAAUCAUUUUGAUGAAGGAGGGAUUACAUUGAUGCGUUUAAAAUAAUCACAAAUGUGCCAAUCGAUAAUACCAAUAUGCCUGGAAAAGUGAAUGCCUCUACGCACAUCAAUGUUAUAUCACAAGAAGUGCCUUCAUUUGCAGUAGCGAAUAAUGUCAAUGGAUUGUGUUGGUACAGUUGUUCAAGAAGUAUCGAAUGUUCCAAUGCAUAUUGAAUUGGAAGAAAUGGUUCCUUCAUGUACAGUUAUAAAAAAUGUACCAAUGAAUUUUGCUGAUGUGUCUAAAAAAAUGUCAACUGUGACACACAUCGAUGUCGCAUCAAAAGAAAUUGUAGAUGCAUCAAAGAGUAUUAUGGAUGUAUAUAAUAUGGACAAUACUUUAUAUGUAACACCAAGUGCAUCAUCUAUAACAAAUCUCCAUAGCUCAAAUAAAGAUAUUGACUCCAUAAAAAACUUACAACAAGAAUUGGAAGAAGAAACUUGCAAAAUUCAAACUACAAGAGAAAUUGAAUAGAGCGAGAAUCUUAAAUUGCAAGUGGUUGCAGUAAAGAAAAAAUUGAAGCGGCAAGAACAAAACUUGUCUUGGUACAUUGAAAUGUGUGAAGUCAAAAUGUACACAAAUCUUUAGAAGAUAUAGCAAGCGCUAUGUCUUUACGAUGCAUCAGUCCCAAAGCUUACCGGUACAUGAGAAGUGUGAAAAUGCUUCUCCCUGUUUUUUCAAUGCUAAGAAGAUAUGCCACACUUGCUCGAGUUAGCAAGAAAUCACUUUAUUGAUAAUGGGUUCAGAGGAGAUAAUGGGUGUGCGGAGGCAUCGCAUGGAUAAGAAAUAUAUCGAAUAAAUCUUAAAUAUUUGUGCAAAAAAUGUAAAAGUUUCUUACAACAUUUUCCAAUAUCAUCUUCACGUUCAAGGCUAUGAAAGAGAAAAAGUUCUUCCUAUUAUACUUUAUAUUAUACAAUUACUUUCUGAACGAAACAGCUUCCAUUGAAUGAUUUGGACAAAAAACUACUUUAACAAUUUUGACUGGAAGGAAGCAGCGCGCAUUAUCUUGUUUAACGACUGGCUGAAAAUGUUUAAUGCUAGUAAUAUAUGUGACAAACGGCAAGAAUGUUUACGAGGUUAAUUUAGAAAAACCAGAUGGCGUUUUAUAAGAAAUGACCGAACUAAUGAAUGACAUGG
rnacentral:lncRNA from 1 species